GCUGGUUCUCAAAUGAGGCAGAGUUGGUGUUCCAACUCCAGUAUACACCGGACUUGGAUAGGCUUGGAUCACUUACUACCUGAAUACAACAAGGUCUGUUUAAUUAAUAAUAAUAUACUACUGGAAAUCAAAUCUGGUAUUUUGUAAAUGUUUUAAACCGACCUGUGCAAGUCUUUUCCCUGCUUCUUCUUCGGACACAUAACCUUUGGUGAUGUACUUUUGAAAUGGAGGGAAGAGAAGCCUGAACAAUGGUAUGUGCUCUCUGAACAAGCCUGUUGUCGCAAUGCAUCCAGGGUAGAGGGAAGCAAAUGUGAUUCCUGUCUCCUCAUGGAAGCGUUUAUGGAACUCUUGCAUGGUA
rnacentral:lncRNA from 1 species